rnacentral:rRNA from 1 species
GAUGAACGCUGGCGGCGUGCCUAAUACAUGCAAGUCGAGCGAACGGACGAGAAGCUUGCUUUUCUGAUGUUAGCGGCGGACGGGUGAGUAACACGUGGAUAACCUACCUAUAAGACUGGGAUAACUUCGGGAAACCGGAGCUAAUACCGGAUAAUAUUUUGAACCGCAUGGUUGAAAAGUGAAAGACGGUCUUGCUGUCACUUAUAGAUGGAUCCGCGCUGCAUUAGCUAGUUGGUAAGGUAACGGCUUACCAAGGCAACGAUGCAUAGCCGACCUGAGAGGGUGAUCGGCCACACUGGAACUGAGACGCGGUCCAGACUCCUACGGGAGGCAGCAGUAGGGAAUCUUCCGCAAUGGGCGAAAGCCUGACGGAGCAACGCCGCGUGAGUGAUGAAGGUCUUCGGAUCGUAAAACUCUGUUAUUAGGGAAGAACAUAUGUGUAAGUAGCUGUGCACAUCUUGACGGUACCUAAUCAGAAAGCCACGGCUAACUACGUG